AUUGAACGCUGGCGGUAUGCUUAACACAUGCAAGUCGAACGGUAACAGGCCUUCGGGCGCUGACGAGUGGCGGACGGGUGAGUAACGCGUAGGAAUCUGCCUUAUAGUGGGGGACAACGUGGGGAAACCCACGCUAAUACCGCAUACGCCCUACGGGGGAAAGCGGGGGAUCGUAAGACCUCGCGUUAUGAGAUGAGCCUGAGUUAGAUUAGUUAGUUGGUAGGGUAAAGGCCUACCAAGGCGACGAUCUAUAGCUGGUCUGAGAGGACGAUCAGCCACACUGGGACUGAGACACGGCCCAGACUCCUACGGGAGGCAGCAGUGGGGAAUAUUGGACAAUGGGCGCAAGCCUGAUCCAGCAAUGCCGCGUGUGUGAAGAAGGCCUUAGGGUUGUAAAGCACUUUCAAUGGGGAGGAAAACCUGCCGGUCAAUACCCGGUAGCUUGACAUUACCUAUAGAAGAAGCACCGGCUAACUCCGUGCCAGCCGCCGCGGUAAAAC
rnacentral:rRNA from 1 species